GAUGAACGCUGGCGGCGUGCCUAAUACAUGCAAGUCGAGCGAAUGGAUUAAGAGCUUGCUCUUAUGAAGUUAGCGGCGGACGGGUGAGUAACACGUGGGUAACCUGCCCAUAAGACUGGGAUAACUCCGGGAAACCGGGGCUAAUACCGGAUAAUAUUUUGAACUGCAUGGUUCAAAAUUGAAAGGCGGCUUCGGCUGUCACUUAUGGAUGGACCCGCGUCGCAUUAGGUAGUUGGUGAGGUAACGGCUCACCAAGUCAACGAUGCGUAGCCGACCUGAGAGUGUGAUCGGCCACACUGGGACUGAGACACGGCCCAGACUCCUACGGGAGGCAGCAGUAGGGAAUCUUCCGCAAUGGACGAAAGUCUGACGGAGCAACGCCGCGUGAGUGAUGAAGGCUUUCGGGUCGUAAAACUCUGUUGUUAGGGAAGAACAAGUGCUAGUUGAAUAAGCUGGCACCUUGACGGUACCUAACCAGAAAGCCACGGCUAACUACGUGCCAGCCGCCGCGGUAA
rnacentral:rRNA from 1 species